rnacentral:tRNA from 1 species
AUGGAUGUAGUUCAAUGGUAGAACACCGGACUUUUAAUCCGUAUGUUGAAGGUUCGAGUCCUUUCAUCCGUA